UCGGGGAGUGCAUAAAGUGGCGCACGGGUGAGUAACACGUAAGUAAUCUACCUUCGAGUGGGGAAUAACCCGGGGAAACCCGAGCUAAUACCGCAUAAUGCAGCGGCAUCGCAAGAUGACAGUUGUUAAAGGAGCAAUCCGCUUGAAGAGGAGCUUGCGGCAGAUUAGCUAGUUGGUAAGGUAAUGGCUUACCAAGGCUACGAUCUGUAUCCGGUCUAAGAGGACGGUCGGACACACUGACACUGAAUAACGGGUCAGACUCCUACGGGAGGCAGCAGUCGGGAAUUUUGAGCAAUGGGCGAAAGCCUGACCCAGCAACGCCGCGUGAAGGAUGAAGUAUUUCGGUAUGUAAACUUCGAAAGAAUGGGAAGAAUAAAUGACGGUACCAUUUAUAAGCUCCGGCUAACUACGUGCCAGCAGCCGCGGUAAUACGUAGGGAGCAAGCGUUG
rnacentral:rRNA from 1 species